rnacentral:rRNA from 1 species
UGCGUAGGCGGCUUUGCAAGUCAGAUGUAAAAGCGUGGGGCUCAACCCCAUAAAGCAUUUGAAACUGUGGAACUUGAGUAGUGGAGAGGAAAGUGGAAUUCCUAGUGUAGCGGUGAAAUGCGUAGAUAUUAGGAGGAAUACCAGUGGCGAAGGCGACUUUCUGGACACAAACUGACGCUGAGGUACGAAAGCAUGGGGAAGCAAACA